GAAUAAUCUGAGGAGAAGGAUCGGAAUUCGAUCGGAGGCAAGUCGGGAUGAUGGAGGAAUCGUAGUCGUAAUCGUCAUCUGAGAGGAAAGUUGAGAGAAUGUCAAAUGAGAUCUUACGUCCAGUUGAUCUCAACGCCAUUGAUGAAGAUUGAAGCUAUGCCGAUGUUGCCGGUUCAUGGAGGUUGCUGAUCGGCGGUUACGCACGACUGUGAAAGGGAGUCGGAGGAGAGGGGAGAAGGUGGUGGUGCUGAAGAUUUGGGGAUCUCUAGACGAG
rnacentral:misc_RNA from 1 species